rnacentral:hammerhead_ribozyme from 1 species
AUCCAGCUGAUGAGUCCUAAAUAGGAUGAAACACGCGUCCUGGAU